GAUGAAGAACGCAGCGAAAUGCGAUAAGUAAUGUGAAUUGCAGAAUUCAGAGAAUCAUCGAAUCUUUGAACGCACAUUGCGCCCGCCAGUAUUCUGGCGGGCAUGCCUGUUCGAGCGUCAUUACAACCCUCAGGCCCCCGGGCCUGGCGUUGGGGAUCGGCGGAAGCCCCCUGCGGGCACAACGCCGUCCCCCAAAUACAGUGGCGGUCCCGCCGCAGCUUCCAUUGCGUAGUAGCUAACACCUCGCAACUGGAGAGCGGCGCGGCCACGCCGUAAAACACCCAACUUCUGAAUGUUGACCUCGAAUCAGGUAGGAAUACCCGCUGAACUUAAGCAUAUCAAUAAGCGGAGGA
rnacentral:misc_RNA from 1 species